UCCCUGUUGGUCCAGUGGCUAUGACUCUGUGUUACCAAUGCAGGGGGUCCAGGUUCGAUUCCUGGUCAGGAAA
rfam:TPA: Bos taurus chromosome 16, whole genome shotgun sequence.